CACGAACGCUGGCGGCAGGCUUAACACAUGCAAGUCGAGCGCCCCGCAAGGGGAGCGGCAGACGGGUGAGUAACGCGUGGGAAUCUACCCAUCUCUACGGAAUAACGCAUGGAAACGUGUGCUAAUAACGUAAACGUCCUUCGGGAGAAAGAUUUAUCGGAGAUGGAUGAGCCCGCGUUGGAUUAGCUAGUUGGUGGGGUAAAGGCCUACCAAGGCGACGAUCCAUAGCUGGUCUGAGAGGAUGAUCAGCCGCACUGGGACUGAGACACGGCCCAGACUCCUACGGGAGGCAGCAGUGGGGAAUAUUGGACAAUGGGCGCAAGCCUGAUCCAGCCAUGCCGCGUGAGUGAUGAAGGCCCUAGGGUUGUAAAGCUCUUUCACCGGUGAAGAUAAUGACGGUAACCGGAGAAGAAGCCCCGGCUAACUUCGUGCCAGCCGCCGCAGUAAGAC
rnacentral:rRNA from 1 species